CCCUGUUUAGCAUGCAGGAGGCCCUGGGUUUAAUCCCUAGCACCAAACAUACAAAGAGAGAGAUUACCCAAUGACUGAUUGAUUUACCCAUUCAUUCACUCAUUCAUUCAACAAGCAUCUAUUGCAGUUAGCAUAUGCAAGGCAUUGAGAUGAUGUUAUAACUACAUAGAUAAAUGAGACACAGUCCCUGCCUGCAAGAAGCUCACAAUUUAGGGGUUUAAAUGAGGUAGUAAAAUGUAUGAGGCCAUAGGUUUAUUUUCAUGAAGGCUCAAAGGCUGAAUUGAGCCACAACUCCAGCCCCUGAAUUGACAGUGUUGAAGAAAGAAAAUUGUAUCUGGGGGUGGGAGGAAGCCCCUUCCCUAGAUUAGAGUUGAACUAAAGGGAAGAAAAGGUCUUUUCUUACAUUUAGGUGAAAUUCCUUUAGACUUUUCCAGGGCUCAAAUAAGUAAAUCCCAGAUUUAGAACCUUACCCAUUCCUCCAACACAAAGUGGGUAGGAGGCAGAGAACCUGGGCUAGUC
rnacentral:lncRNA from 1 species